UACGGAGGAUGCGAGCGUUAUCCGGAUUUAUCGGGUUUAAAGGGUGCGUAGGCGGGAUGCCAAGUCAGCGGUAAAAAUGCGGUGCUCAACGCCGUCGAGCCGUUGAAACUGGCGUUCUUGAGUGGGCGAGAAGUAUGCGGAAUGCGUGGUGUAGCGGUGAAAUGCAUAGAUAUCACGCAGAACUCCGAUUGCGAAGGCAGCAUACCGGCGCCCUACUGACGCUGAGGCACGAAAGCGUGGGUAUCGAACAGG
rnacentral:rRNA from 1 species